rnacentral:lncRNA from 1 species
CGACCUUCUGGUUUCGAUUUAUCGCGUCUAGUCUGGCCGCGAUAAGUCGAACCCAGAAGUUCGAUUUCCAGCCGUCGAACUUGCCGGUAAGUGUAGCCAAGGCCUAAGCUUCAUUGAUGGCAGGGAAUGGCUUCCUCAAGUUAAGAUGUCAAAGCAGUGGCCCGCUAGGGGGGCAGCCUGAAGUGAAGAGGAGGACACGGCAUGAUGUCAGGACUGGCUGGAGCCUACCACCAGACAAAGGAGGGAUCAAAGGGACAGGCAUAGAAGAAGGGAAAGUCAGGGGGGCCCUUCUGUAGUGAGAAGAAAAGGAUUGCAUUUCUCACCCCUCAGCCAUAGAGCUUUCACAGAAAAGAGACAAAGAGAGGGGAUAAAGCAGGAUGGUUCAUUCCAUCCUUGUCCUGUCUGCUGGGAUGGCCAUUGUACCGACCCUCACCUUGUGUCACUGAACUCUAGAUCUCCAUGAUAGGUCUCUACCACCAUGUGACACCAUCAGGGGUGCAGAUUGCGUUAUGGAUACCUGCCAAUUGAGAAAUGAUUCAAGAACUCUCAACCUACUAUGAACAGGCGAUGAAACAGUAAUAACCCUUGGUCCCUACUAUCGUAGGUGGGAUUGGAAAGGGCAGUCUACAGGCGAAAGGCUCUGUAGCCUAGCACGAAGCCUUCCAGCCAUCUACGAACAUGAUGAUACUUAAUUCAACUACAUUUACAGACAAUGCGGUAAAGUGGCUGUAGGAUGUGAGCAAAGACCUGAGAAAUGCUGGAUGGAUUAAAGAUUGCACCAACGAUAAGCCUCAUUUGUCCUCCUAAGCCUGGCCAAUGUAGAAUGUACUCCGUUAACAGAGUUACAGCUUGUAAAAAUGAAGCUUUAACACUGCACUACCUUUUAUGAGCUGGAUCUUCAAUUAAACCCCGUUUUCAAUGAUUAGAAUUGUGAUUUUAAAACAAUUAAAUGGAAAGUGAGUCAGAUUUCUCCAGGAUAAACGUAUCACCAAAAGAGCAGAGGGAUGUUUUCAGACCAGUACAUAGUUGUUAAAUUCUGAUGGAACUUGAUCAGAUUAAGCACUGCAAAAAACAACAACAACAACAAAAGGAGAAGCUUCAGCAUCAGAUCUUCAGGGGGUCAACCAGAUUUCAUCGCUCUCACAUAACCUUCAACCCUGCACUUUACUCCAGGUAAUCAGACCUCC